rnacentral:misc_RNA from 1 species
UAGCAAGCCCACCUUUAGAGACAGGCUUGGAAAUCAAACCUCCGGGUUCAACUAGAUUCCUCUGGCACCGGUUUCGUUUUCCUUCUCUUCCGAAUUCUGCUGUUGUUCUGAUCGGAAUCAGUGAACGCCAUGGAAUACGACUUCAGAAACCGAACAGGACCUCCUUACGAUACACAAUCGCCGAUGUACGGCAGGCCAGCUACCGGAGCUCCACAGCCACAUCCUAUGUACGGACAAGCUCCCGGACUCUAUCCUAGACCUGGUCAACACUCCGGCGGCCGGAACCCUCCUUUCCAUCACACGCCUCCUCCGUCUUCAAACACUGGAAUCGGCAUCAGAGUUGCUAUUAAACCCGAAUAUCGGAUUACACCUCCGCCUCAAUUGUCAACACAAGUGGGAGAAAUUCCCCGAAGCACAUUCAACUUUGAUUUUGACCUUGAGAAAAAGAUUUUGGCUGAAGCAGAAAAGGAAAGCCAGAACUGGAGCAAGCUAGGGCUGGAAAAUCUUCCACCUAUAAUGCCAGAACAACCUAGCAUGGGAUACACUGGAGAUCUUAUGAUGAACAAAUACGCAACAGCUGGUUUCAAUAGAGAGGCUGUGGCCAUAGCAGUUGCAAAUUAUGGUGAUAAUCCGAUCAAGGUGAAGGAAUUUGUGGAGGGAUAUACUCUCUUGAAAGAGAUGGGAUUCUCAUCAAACAGUGUUGCAGAUGCCUUACUGAUGAAUGACAACGAUAAAGAUAAGGCAGCAGCUCAAUUGCUAGGCAAUUCAUCAUAAUAAUUUUAAUGAAUAUGUAACGUAAUGAAUGUGUCACUACAUUAUAAUUCAAACCUUAUACUUCCAUUGUAAAUGUAUGUUUUACCCAUUUACGUGUGUGCUGAUGAGAUAUUUUCUGGUGACUCCUAUUAU